rnacentral:piRNA from 1 species
UGAGAUGUUUUCAUGGUCACUAUGUCACUG